CCUACGGGAGGCAGCAGUGAGGAAUAUUGGUCAAUGGACGGAAGUCUGAACCAGCCAUGCCGCGUGCAGGAUGACGGCUCUAUGAGUUGUAAACUGCUUUUGUAUGGGGGUAAACUGUACUACGUGUAUGCAGUUGAAAGUACCCUACGAAUAAGGAUCGGCUAACUCCGUGCCAGCAGCCGCGGUAAUACGGAGGAGCCAAGCGUUAUCCGGAUUUAUUGGGUUUAAAGGGAGCGUAGGUGGAUUGUUAAGUUAGAGGUGAAAGGUGGGGGCUCAACCUGAAAAUUGCCGUUGAAACUGUUAGUCUUGAGUACAGUAGAGGUAGGCGGAAUUCGUGGUGUAGCGGUGAAAUGCUUAGAGAUCAUGAAGAACUCCGAUGGCGAAGGCAGCUUACUGGACUGUAACUGACACUGAGGCACGAAAGCGUGGGGAGCAAACAGGAUUAGAUACCCCUGUAGUC
rnacentral:rRNA from 1 species